rnacentral:rRNA from 1 species
AACGAACGCUGGCGGCAUGCCUAACACAUGCAAGUCGAACGCUCCGCAAGGGGAGUGGCGAACGGGUGAGUAACGCGUGGGAACCUGCCCAGUAGUUGGGGAUAACCGCGGGAAACUGCGGCUAAUACCGAAUACGCCCUAAGGGGAAAGAUUUAUCGCUAUUGGAGGGGCCCGCGUCGGAUUAGCUGGUUGGUGAGGUAACGGCUCACCAAGGCGACGAUCCGUAGCUGGUCUGAGAGGANGAUCAGCCACACUGGGACUUAGACACGGCCCAGACUCCUACGGGAGGCAGCAGUGGGGAAUAUUGGACAAUGGGGCAACCCUGAUCCAGCAAUGCCGCGUGAGUGAUGAAGGCCUUAGGGUUGUAAAGCUCUUUUACCGGGACGAUGAUGACGGUACCCGGAGAAUAAGCCCCGGCUAACUUCGUGCCA